CCCCUUGACCUGGGCGCCUGGCCCCAGGCCCAAGUCGCGGGCGUCCUGCCCCUCCUGUCGCUGGGCCUGGGCCGUCCUCUGUGACCUGGAGCUGCUGUGUGUUUGAGCUCCUGCCGGGUCUCGGAGGCUGUCGGUGGCCGUCUGCUCCAAAUGGGCCGUCGCUUAGCUUCGGAGGCCCUGCCGCUGAGCGCGGCUGGUCCAGUGGGGCGGUCGCUCGCGCCCUCGUGGCCGGGCGUCGCUGGGAUGCCCGUCGAGGCUUCGCGUCCCCCCUGGGCGGGCGGGGAGGCCUGCUCGCGGGGUUUCCAUUUUGUCUCUUGCGCUCCCCGUUGUCUUCUGACUCGCUGGUUGGCUAGGACUUUAAAUUAGCCGUUCAAGCAAGUGCGCCGUGUUUUAAAAUGUAAACAGCGGAGCGGUCAGUACAGAAAACUUAGCAAGUACGGACAAAUCCCACCUGUUUCCAAUAUCCUAAGACUAGUGUUGAUGCGCGUUUCUUUCCAAUGUUCUUAAUUUUAAUUAAAAAUUUAAAUUAUUAAAGAUUUCACACAUUCAAAAGAAGUUACGUAACAAACACCCAUGUACCACCCUCCCCCAUUUGCCUCACUUCUCUCUCCUUUCUGUUUUGGUGAGGAAGAUUGGCCCUGAGCUAACAUCUGUGACAGUCUUCCUCCACUCUGUAUAGGGAUGCCACCACAGCGUGGGUUGAUGAGCGGUGGGUGUGUCCGCACCAGGGACCUGAACCAGCGAACCCUGGGCGGCUGAAGAGGAGCGUGGGAACAUAACCACCCUGCCGCCGGGAUGGCCCCAUCGCGUCUGGCUUGCUUGAAAUAGGCUUCCUGAUUUGGCUCUGAUUGAGGGGACGUGGCUUGAAUACCGGCUCCAACAUCUUCUCGCUGUGUGACUGAACGGGGCAAGUUAUUUAAACUCUCUGCACCCCAUAAAGUAGAACCAAACGUCCCACCGAGAAGACUUCCGGCACAUCGCAUCGCGUGCUUCCAUUUUCUGUGCGUAGUCCUGGGGGACGCAGUCUGAGGGCCUUUGGGUUAAGAUAAUGAAGUAUGUGAGUGAAUUGGUUUCGUAAUUUCUCAUUGAGAAGCUUUGUUCUUCGUUAGUUACUUCACUUCUUAGACUCUUUAACUCUGAAGAUAAAAUCUCUAUACAGUGAGAAAUAUGCAAAGCAUAAUGAAGACAUAACACUUUGCACCAAAUAUUAGCAUCAAAAUGCGUGUGUGUAUGUCAGAGAUAGUUAGAAAGAAUGAUUAAAAUGAGGAAAGUAAACUAGUAAGGAGACAUUUAACAAGUCACUGUCAGAGCAGGAGCAAUCAUGCAGAAAAAGAAUACGCAAAAGCCUACUAGUUCUGAACAAUAUCUGGCACUCUUCUGAGGUUUAGGGGCAUUUACAAACAGUAACUGUCCACUCGUUCCCUCAGAUGGGUGGGUGGACGGCUGCAGGGGUGCAUGGAUAGAUGCAGGGUGGGUACGUGGGUGGAUGGGCAAAUAAAGGAGGAGACGCCGUGCCAUACUGCUAAACAAUAUUCAAGUAAAGUAAAUGAAAAUCUUCACUGACAGGCUAUUUAGAAUACAAGGAUAAUUUACAAAGAGCAUUUCUUUAUGGACAGUAUCCAUUCGGCAAAACCUAGUUUUCAACCCCAUCUCAUCUAUCCUAUGCCCUCCUCCUCAAUAUUAGUUAACUAUUAUUAGUGUUUGGAUUAUCCUUUCAUUUAAAAAACAUUUUGUGUAAGUAUCUGGGAAUUUUUGCUUCUACCUUUUUGGUAAUUUUACAUGUAUUUUAUUAUACUUUUCCCACUUUUAUUAAGCUUUUCCCACUAUCUUUUCAUUUUGAAAAACUUUAAACCUAUGGAAAAAUUGUAAGAACAUUAAACUUAUACUCUACACUUUUCAUUUAGUUUUGCCAGUCUUUAACAUUUUGCUUCAUCCAUUUUAUCUCUCUACCCACAUGUGCUUUUUCAUGAAUGAUUUGUGAGUUAAAUUGCGGACGUCAUGACGCUUUACUCCAAGUACUUCAACAUCAUCUCCCAAGAACAAGGACAUUCUCCUACAUAGCCAUAUAAAAAAUUAUUCACUCAGAAAACUUAACAUUGAUCCAAUGCUCUGUCUAAUAUGCAGUCCAAGUUUAAUUUCCCCAAUUUUUCCAAUAAUGUACUUGGUAGCUAUUUUUUAAAAGUCUCUAGUUCAGUCAAGGAGCGUGCACUGCAUUUACUUGUGAUGUCUCUAGUCUCUUUUAAUCUAGAAUCACUCUCUGUUGUUCUUCUAAAAAUCUUUAAUGACACUGAUAUUUUUGAGAUAUUUUAAAUUCUUUACUGUGGGAAAUUUCAAACAUACAAAAGUAGAGAAGAUCGUACAAAUGAAUGGCCGUAUGCUUAUUACACAGCUUCAGCAAAUAGCAACUCAUGAAUUAUCUGUGUGAAAAUAAACACAGAGCACCCAAACGGGAACAAGCAAAGGCCAUUUAUUCUGACCUUGCUAUAUAUAGCAAGGGAGUCAGCCACCGUCACUUGUGUUUAUCAGAGACUCAAAGGCAGGCGAAGGAGUGGGAAAACUUUACAGAGGAAGAAAGAGAAGGCUUCAGGUACGCCUGAAGGAGGAGGCUGUUGGCAUGGGGAAGCCAUAGCUGGGCUAAGUAGAAGCACGGCAUUAUCUGUGAUUGGUUAGAGGUGAAUAUUUGGGCUUCUCCAGUUGGUUCUAAGUUGCAAUUAAGGGCAAACACUAGGGAAGCUAUCACUUACUAACCAAGUCUUGGCCAUUUGGUGUUCACUGCCGUAGAGUUUGUUUGGCUUCCUAGACUGAGUGCUGUGGACUGUGGGUCAGAGUUCCAUUUUUGUCUUCGGUCUAGCCAUUGCCCAUUUGUACAUUCGGUCUCUCAGUCCCGGCUCCUGGCCAUUCUCUCAUCGGUGAGAGGUUGACCAAUUCAGGAAAAGCUAGAAAUCUGGAUCUGCUUAGAGAUUGUUCAGUUGUCUUCACAGCCCACUGAACUGCAAGAUCUUCUUGCCCUUUCUGUUGUAUCACCCUGGAGAUCAUCUGAUGAGGGAGUGACUGUAUAGAAGCAUUUAAGACUCUGGAUAGAAUGCGUCAAAAGAAAAUUCAGAGAGUUUUACUUGAGAGAAUAUUUUAUUGAGUUUGAAACAAGCUGUUUGCAAACAGAGGGACUGCCAAACAACAAGCGGCUUGGAGUCCUGCCCUCAGCAGUCGCGGCUCAGUUUCUAAAGCGAGAAGGAGCAAGUACAUCGCUUUGUAUUGUGACAGGCUCCUAGAAACUUAACAUUCCUUUUAGGGUAGGAGUACUCCAUAAGCUUACUUGUUUGUAGCUGAUUAGCUAGGAAGCUGUAAGGUCACGCUGACAUGAAAACUUAAGUCUUGGUUGAGGUCAGAGUCCGCCUUUCAGGAAAAUCAGGCCAGUUUUAAGUUUUGGUUACGUGACUGUGAGUGUUUGGUCUAGGGGUAUAUUCAAACUGUGGACUCCAUUUUGGUUUCUCUUUAACAAAUGCAGUGGAUCAGCAGCAUGACCACUAUGAUAAAAACAAGAACAAUUAGUAAUUACCGUAAGAUGCUUUGGAACUGGGAAUCCUAAUCGCCCCACCCAGGCCAAGAGAACAAAUUCCACAGGCCCUGAGGAUCACUCUGAGAGGCAAAUAGCUUUUUCCGUAAGGCGUUCUACAGCUUAUUCCACCUUGUCCGUUUCAUCGAUCUAAGUACAACAGGAAGUAUUAGCAGUGGCACAGACACCACCAAGACCAGUCAGCAAGAAAUCUAGAGCAGGGCAACUGUCCAUCACUACUCACGCCAAUGAGUUGAGACUCAUCUCUCCUACAUCUAGGGCAGACGUAGUAUCAUUAAUAACUUCUGCCAGAGUUAGUGACAGGUUUCUUCCUAUUUUCUACUUCUUUUCUUUUCUAUUUUGUAUUUGUCUUUUCUAUUUGUAUGGUUCUUCCGAUGGGGCACUGCUCUGACUGUUCUCGUAAACGACGAGUCAGUAAUUUCCCUGGGUAGUGUGCCUGAAAAAGCAAGAGUGGCCUCAUUUUGGAGCUCAUAUCUGAGUCAGAAUUUCCAGCCUUGGUGGUUUAUAGAAUUAGGAUCUCUGUGCACAGACAAGUGUCAGAGUUUUAUUCCUAAAGAGCGUGACAUGUUGGUCUGAGACAAACAGGAUCAGCUAUUCUGGCCACAAAGGAUGUAGUAUCCAGUAGGGGUGCAUGGAAAUUCAGGAAAAAAGGGAGUUCAUGACAUGAAGUUGGAACCAAGACCUUGCGUUAGCUGGGUUACACGUUUGGCUCUCUUUUAGUCUCUUCUCAGUAGUAUUUGGCCCAUUGCUCUACGAAGGGGGUUGAAUCCAAAUUUAGAAUUAUCUUGGGUCAGUCAACAGGUUGUAAUAAUCGUCUGUCAAAUCUCCUGUAAGCUUCUUCCGGGAGAGAGCAACGCUAGCAAAAUCACAGAUUGAUUUGCUUAAGGUCAGUUGUCCAUGAUGGAGCAAAUGGAAACACCAUCAGCUGCAAUACUGAUGUUCUUAUCGUGGGGGUCUUGUGAUGGAUGGCAUAUCCAGCAGUCAGUAUGACUGAGGGCAGUGGUUACUGUUGAAGAUAAUCUAAGAAUGGCAUUAGAAUGAUACAUUCUGACCUAACAAUUAUAGUAAGCAGGGGAGAAAAGAAAUAGGGCUACUGUAGGUGGAGGACAACAAGGGGUCUGGAGAAAAUGAGAAAAAUGAUUACAAACAAGCAGAUAAAAAAUGAAACAGGAACUAGAUAGGUGUCUUGGUCCAACAGUGGACCAAAAACUAUCUGUGGUCAGGGGUCAUCUGUUUGUUCCAAAGGUCUGGGCCAGCUGUCUGCUUUCCAAGAUUUGCUUCCGGGGGAUCUCAGAGAGUCCUGAGUUUGAGGUCCCAUAUUGGAGUAGCUUUCCAAUUGUGUGCAAUUCUGAAUAGUUUUCUUAGUUGUGAAACAUGAACCCCAGUGUUGACUCCUUGGGGUUUCACUGCUUACUUGUCAACAGCACCUGAUAAAGGCCCUUCCAACAAGAUUCAAGAGCAGUUUUCUCCAGUAUCUCUUCCAGUCGAUGAAAUCUCCUGGUGGAAGCUUAUGAAGAGGUUGUUUAGGAAGACAUUGUGGGAAGGUGGUCUUCACUUUUGAUGACAGAGGUGGCUAUAGUACGUGAGUCCUUUGCAAUAUUUUGCCACAUCUGCCGCAGUUGGCAGAGCCUAAUGUAGCAGGUGAAAUCUCUACAUGCGUGGGCCUUCCAGUCACCAGCUCACAGGAAGAUGAGCAGUGUGUCCCAGAGGGAGUAGACUGUCUGACCAUAAGGGCUAGUGAGAGCGCCUUUGGCCAAGGGAGCUCAAGGGCUUUUGAAAGUUUUGCUAAUUUUAAUGUAAGUAUGUGAUUGAUCCUUUCAAGCUUUCCAGAAAUUGUAGUUUUUGAGUAAGAGAGAACACCUUACAAAGUCCUUUUAUAAUGGUUUCUGUAAAGUGUGUGUCUCAAUCACCUGAUAUUACAGUUGGGAUGCCCCCAGGUUGCAAACACAAAAUCAAGCAGCCUUUUAGUGACCGUAAAGGCUGUAGCUUUUAAGCAAGGAAAUCUUUCAACUCAUGCUGAGAACAGACAUACGGCAAGUAAAACAUAUUCAAAUCCCUUGGAGGGUGAAAGCUGGAUGGUCCAUCUGAAGGAGGUGAAAGGGCCCUUGAGGCUUUGGUUCCUGGCCACGUCACCUUUACAGUUUUUCCAGGGUUAUGUUGUUGACAGGUGACGCAUAAUCUGAAAAUAACCUCAGUUGUCUUUUAAAACUUUGUCCGUCAGUGUUGAUUUAAGAUAACCAAUUUGUCGACUUCAUGAUGGAUAGCUUCAUGGAUGAAUCCAGCUAAUAUCCAUGCGAAAUCAUCUGGAGCCACCAAGUGGCCAUCUUGAGAGAGCAGGAGAUUAUCUGACUGAAGGGCACAACCGGAUUUUUGCAUUCUUCCUUUUCAAAAUCAGGGGCUAAAUAUUGACGUUUUAUAAUGUCCUCUUUGAGUCCCUCCAGAGAUUUAUCCUUUGAAGGCUCAGCUAGGAUCGUAACUUUGGUUAAAUUGGCUGGUUUGGUCAAACGAUAUGCUAGAGCAUUUCCUUUCGCUUUCACAUUCUCUCUUUUUACGUGGGCCUCAACCUGUAUAAGAGCCUCUCUCUAGGAAGUAGGAUUGUAUCUAAAAGUUCCUUAACUUGUCCAUGUUUCAUGGGCUUUUCAGUAGAGAUGAAAACCUCAUAAAACAUUUGUUUCCAAAGCAUCCUCCUUUGUUUCUAAAGCAUCCCAAAGUCAUGUACUCCUCCCAAAGCUGGCCUGCUCUCAGUGGAUACGUUGACUCUGAGGCCUUUGGCUAGUUGAUAAGCUCUACUAAGGCAGUAAGCUCUCCCAUCUGGGCUGCUUUUUUCUCAGGUGUAGGACUGUACCCCAGAGGAGAGCUUCAAUUAGUGGUGGCAUAUCCUGCUUGAUAACCUCCCCUUGCAGUUUUGAGGUCUGACACAUCAACAAAUAAUGUUAGGUCAGGGUUCUCAAUGGGAGCCUCUGAUGAACCUGAGCGAGGCACAGAAAGGUCCCCGAAGUAAGACAAGCCUGAGUUCCCCCUUCUGGUAGGGGCAGAUGAGUGGCAGGGUUCCGGACACUGGAGCAGUGAAUAGCAAUGUGAGAGGGAGAAUGUAACAAAACCUCCCGAGAGGUGAAAAGGCUGUUUGGGAGGUGCGUGUCCUCAGUCGCUGGAAAUAUCUGUGCUGCAGGAGGAACCAUUAGGUCCGGCUAAGAGCCUAGAACUGGUGGAGCAGAAGCAUCCAGUUUUGCACAGGCAGCUGCUGCCUUAGGACAAGGGUCUGAGCCUUUGCAGCCGGGCCCAGGGUACGGCUCCGGUAAGCAAUGAGUGUUUGAUGGUUCCCAUGGAGCUGAGUUAAAACCCCCAGAGCUUGUCUCGGUCACUCAUGGAAAGCUACAUAAAAUGGUGUUUUGCAGCUAGGGAUGCAUAGGGAAGGAGGCUGCCAGGAGCACAGCUUAGCUGGGAGAGAGAGAACUGAGCUGCCAGGGGUCAGAGCAGCCAAGUAAGGCAACAAGCCAGAAAGGACAGAGUUAACCCUUUAAUCCCUCACUGAAAUGGUCUAAGCAGGAGGUUGAACCCAGAGCCUCCCCACGCUCCAUUUCUCUCGCGGAACAAGGUCAGGUACACGAGCGCUGACAUGGGGGUCACUCAGGGCUGAGGGAGAACAAAAGGCUCCAGCAGUUUUGGGGACCCUGGGGUGGGCGGAGGACGGAGGAGGAGGGAGAGGAGGAAGAGCUUGGAGUGGGAAAGUCCUAGAUACUGGGUCAGCGUGAGGACGAGUGUCUUCGUGGCUUCCUGCCUUUCCUCCCCACACCCCCAGCCCGUGAGGACCCCUCAGCAGGGGCUCCUGAAGAAGACCUCUGCCCAAGGCCUCAGAUAGAGACCUGUGGCUGUCAACACUGAGAAGAGCUUGACGGUCAGCGGAGCUGAGUCCUUGACGGCAGCUGCCUUUGGGGACCGCAGUGCGCGGCUGGGCGUUCUCUGAGUGGAGUCUUAUCAGUCGGCUGCUUUUUUGGUGGACUGUAUUCUCCUGUUCGCAAGAGCCUCGCAGGGCCUGGGAUCCAGCUGUCUGGACCUGAGCAUGCCCUCCCCCCGCACAGGCCCAGUGGAGUCCACCUCCCCAAAACAGAGCCCCGAGUCAACACUUUGAUCCAGGUGGACGGCAGCUUCGAGGACACCCUGGAGAUCACCACCUACAGAGCGAAGCUACUCAGGGAAGUGACACAAUGGAUUAUCCAAGGGUUGGUCAAGUGGCACCGAUGCCACCAGGCCCGAAGCAAGAGGCUUGGGUGCGGGGGACAGGGCCUUUGUACAAGCAGGCUCCAGUGGGAGGGCAGGUUUGUUCCUCCCCCUCAGAACUCUUCCACAAAAACUGGAACCCUGACUCCUGUGCCAGGAGGAUCGUUUAGUAUCAGUAUAUCCCAAGGGUGGACGACCGAGGACCGAGUUCUGCAAGUGGGAAGAGCUGUGGCCUCCCCGGCUUGAGGGGGUGUGCAAUGUGGCUGUCACGUGCCUAUUUUAAAAUGUCAGGUCGCACGCCUUUAAUUCUAAUUUCGCUGUUCUCUCUUGUGCAGGGAAGCGCAGACCUGAGGAGGCCAGGAAAACCCUGGAAGCUGACUCUGGGACAAACAGAAUGCUGUCGCCCACUGACUGUGAAGGCCACCGCCCACUGUGCAGGCGAGCAGGGCUGCAAGUCCAAGGUUGACCUGUUCCGGUUCUGGAAGUUGGAGAAAACAAGAAUUCACUGGUCCCCGCCUUGUUUGGGCUUUCCUUGUUUAUUGGCGCGCACAGAUUUAUUUCAGGGCUGAUCACCAAUGUAAAGAGACGGAGAAGCACAGCUCUGUGCAGAUGGACUGGAGGGGAAGUGCGCGGUUUCCCUGGAGGUGGAGGUGUGGUGGGAGGGAGAUGGGAGAAUUGGCCUAGAGUCACCGCGACCCGGGCUCCAUGGUGCCCCACUUUUUAGUUUUAAUUUGCUCAUCAUUAGUGCUUUGUGUAUCUCCAUUAAAAAUGUUUAGUAUUUUGAAGUCAUCAAGAUAUUUUCUGACAUUGUAUUCUAAGAAGAAAUUUUGAUUUGCCUUUCAUAGUCCCGUAAUACAAUUGGCAUUAAUUUUUUGUGAACAGUGUGAGAUAGAACUUAGCUCCCUUUUCUUCUGUAGACACACCCUGUAUGUUCCAGCAUACCAUUGCUGUGCUUGUGCGGUGCCGCCUUUGUCAACAUAAAGUGAAUAUGAAUAUGCACAUGGCAUAUUGUUAUACUCUGUUCAUUGGCACGUUUGUCCAUUCUUACAUCAAAACCAUAAUGUUUUAAUUCCUGUAGUUUUAUCAUAAUAUUUGAAAACCUAGAGAAAGUCCUGAUGCCUUAUUCUUUUUCAAGGGUGUCUUGAAUAUUCCUCACCUUUUGAAUAUUCAUAUAAAUUGCAGAAUCCACUUGCCAAAUUCCACUAAACAGUUAAAAUUGUGGUUAGGAUUCCUUGAAUCUACAGAUCAAGUUGUGGAGAAUUGGCAUGUUAUGGUACUUAAUCUUUUAAUGCAUGAACUUGGUGUCUUUAGCCAUUUAUUUAAGUAUUCUUUACUUUCUCUGAGCAACAUUUUAGAAUCUCUAUAUAAGGGCCUUGCAUAUACGUUGUUAGCCUUAACCCUUAAUGUUUGCUAUUUUUGAUGCUUUUAAAGUAAAAUUUUUAAAAAUUCACUUUUCACUACUGGUACAUAGAAAUAAAAUUUAUUUGAAUAUACUGGUCUUUAAUCCAGCAAUUUUGAGCAACUGACAUUAAUUUUAAUAAUUUAACUGUAGAUUCUUUUGGAUUUUCUAUAUAACAAAUUAUAUCAUCCAUAAAUACCAGGAGUGUUACCUCUCUCCUUUAAAUCUUUAUAAUUUUUGUGUUAGAUAUAAAAUAUGGGUGUAGAAUCUUUUUCUGCAUUAGUUAAGACCUCCAGUAUACUACUGAACAGGGGUGAUGACAGUGGACAACCUUUCAUGAUUGCCAAUAACAGAGGGAAAGCUUUCAACAUUACACCUUUAAAUAAAAUGUUUUUGGAUGUAUAUAGAGGCUUCAGUUGACUGACAUUUUAUCAUUAUCUGUGCUUCCCGUUGUUUAUUACAUGUCCUACUUUGUAGCAAUGACUGUUUUCCUUUGGUUCUACCAAUUAUUAGGUGUAUGUAAUUUAAAAUUGUUUGUCUUUGAAUAGAAUCCUCUAUCUUACCAAGUCUUCCUUUUUAUCUGCAGUAAUGUUUCUUGCCUUACAAUCUACUUUGAUAUUAACACGUCUAUCUGUUCGUUUGGGCGUAGAGUUUACAUACGAUAUACUUUCUCGUACUUUUAACUUUUCUGUAUUCUUCAUAUUUAGACAGAUUUCUUUGAAAACCUGUCUAUAUUUCAUUUUAAGGGAAGCAUUUAGUCUCUUUUCAGUUGAUGUAGUUAUUGACCUAUUUGAAGUUAACUCUUUGUUUGCUGUGCCUUUCCUUUUUUUUAUUUUAAUUUUUUUUUUAAAGAUUUUGUUUUUUCCUUUUUCUCCCCAAAG